rnacentral:rRNA from 1 species
CAGUCGCCACGGGAAUACGUAGGGUCCGAGCGUUGUCCGGAAUUAUUGGGCGUAAAGGGCUCGUAGGCGGUUUGUCGCGUCGGGAGUGAAAACCAGCAGCUUAACUGCUGGCCUGCUUUCGAUACGGGCAGACUUGAGGCAUUCAGGGGAGAACGGAAUUCCUGGUGUAGCGGUGAAAUGCGCAGAUAUCAGGAGGAACACCGGUGGCGAAGGCGGUUCUCUGGGAAUGUUCUGACGCUGAGGAGCGAAAGUGUGGGGAGCGAACAGGAUUAGAUACCCGGGUAGUCCCUGUCUCUUAUAU